UACGUAGGGUGCAAGCGUUGUCCGGAAUUAUUGGGCGUAAAGAGCUCGUAGGCGGUCUGUCGCGUCUGCUGUGAAAACUCGGGGCUUAACCCCGGGCCUGCAGUGGGUACGGGCAGACUAGAGUGUGGUAGGGGAGACUGGAAUUCCUGGUGUAGCGGUGAAAUGCGCAGAUAUCAGGAGGAACACCGAUGGCGAAGGCAGGUCUCUGGGCCACUACUGACGCUGAGAAGCGAAAGCGUGGGGAGCGAACAGG
rnacentral:rRNA from 1 species